rnacentral:rRNA from 1 species
AGAGUUUGAUCAUGGCUCAGGAUGAACGCUAGCGGCAGGCUUAACACAUGCAAGUCGAGGGGCAGCAUGGUUUGUAGCAAUACAGAUUGAUGGCGACCGGCGCACGGGUGAGUAACGCGUAUGCAACUUACCUAUCAGAGGGGAUAGCCCGGCGAAAGUCGGAUUAAUACCCCAUAAAACAGGGGUCCCGCAUGGGAAUAUUUGUUAAAGAUUCAUCGCUGAUAGAUAGGCAUGCGUUCCAUUAGGCAGUUGGCGGGGUAACGGUCCACCAAACCGACGAUGGAUAGGGGUUCUGGAGAGGAAGGUCCCCCANAUUGGUACUGAGACACGGACCAAACGUCCUACGGGAGGCA